CACAGCCGCCCCCAUGCAGCCAGCAGAGCAGGGAGACUGGAAGGCACCACCCCACUGGCCAGAGAAGGGGCCCUGAGCUGAGAGAAGACUCAAGCUGACUGCAAGAUUAUUAAAAGCCUGAAACAUACAGAGCUCACCUUGGGAAGUGGAGGGGCUCAGAUGCUGCCAUAAGAUCCUGAGAAGUAAAAAGGACCAAACCCUUGCCCCAUAUAGAGCUCUCCAAGUAGGACUUUUUAAACUAGUGAAUUGUUCACCUCCCGUUGAUUCUUCCCAAAUGAACUAAGAGAUUUCUGGAGCCUCUUGCCAUGGUCAGCAAUGUCCCUGAAUGGCCAGGAAGUGGUUUCUAUUCUAGGUCCCUCAGGCAAAGACAAAGCAGGUCAUUAUAUGGAGCUGGCGGGCCUCCCUGAUGAUCAGUCGCCAUGGCGGAACGGGGAGGUGGAGGUAACGCCUUCACAGCUACAGAUGUUCCUUAGCAGAGCUGUGGAGUGUGACAAUGGUGUUUGUGUCCAAACUAUCAAACGCCAUUAUCACACUAAAUAGCUACUGUUAGGCAAUCCUUCCACUCCAUAAAUGCCUUGGCAUCUGUUUGGCAUGGAUAAGAAGGUCCACCUGACAGCAGGGCUCCCAGGCAUGUGUAAUUACUGAAUAAUUUACGGUCCUUUUGUGCUCAUAACCAAUAUGUCAUCUGAACCUUGCCUCUCACCUGCUGUUGUUGAAUACUUUAGCCGAUGAUAAAUUUUAUUUUUCUGAGUCAAUAUAAAGGUUGCAGUGUCCCCCAAAGCAUCCAACACAAGGCUAGGCACAUUGAAAUUGUGCAACCCACACUUGUUGAGUUGAAAUGAAUAGUUAGGAAAGUGUUAGACACAGAAAACUAAACUUGGGUCCAAUCUAGUCUAUGCAAACCACACACUCAUAGGCACAAAAUUAAGGUAUGCGAGUCCUCCACUCUGCGUCAUAAUAAAACAACUUUCUAAUAAACUCACCUGUGGCUUAACUGACCUUUCAGAAAUUCUAAAA